AGCGAACGCUGGCGGCAGGCCUAACACAUGCAAGUCGAACGAAGCCUUCGGGCUUAGUGGCGGACGGGUGAGUAACACGCGGGAACGUACCUUUUGGUUCGGAACAACUCAGGGAAACUUGAGCUAAUACCGGAUGAGCCCUUAGGGGGAAAGAUUUAUCGCCGAAAGAGCGGCCCGCGUUAGAUUAGCUAGUUGGUGAGGUAAAGGCUCACCAAGGCAACGAUCUAUAGCUGGUCUGAGAGGAUGAUCAGCCACACUGGGACUGAGACACGGCCCAGACUCCUACGGGAGGCAGCAGUGGGGAAUCUUGCGCAAUGGGCGAAAGCCUGACGCAGCCAUGCCGCGUGAAUGAUGAAGGUCUUAGGAUUGUAAAAUUCUUUUACCAGGGACGAUAAUGACGGUACCUGGAGAAAAAGCCCCGGCUAACUUCGUGCCAGCAGCCGCAGUAAUAC
rnacentral:rRNA from 1 species